ensembl:miRNA Mir490 microRNA 490
UGGAAAGUUCAUUGUUCGACACCAUGGAUCUCCAGGUGGGUCACGUUUAGAUAUACACCAACCUGGAGGACUCCAUGCUGUUGA